rnacentral:tRNA from 1 species
UCCUCGAUGGUCUAACGGUCAUGAUUUCCGCUUGUCACUCCGGCCAAGGAACAAGCGCGGGAGACCUGGGUUCGACUCCCAGUCGGGGAG